AGCGCAGGCGGUUAUUUAAGUCAGGUGUGAAAGCCCCGAGCUCAACUUGGGACGUGCAUUUGAAACUGGGUAACUAGAGUGUGUCAGAGGGGGUAGAAUUCCACGUGUAGCAGUGAAAUGCGUAGAGAUGUGGAGGAAUACCGAUGGCGAAGGCAGCCCCCUGGGAUAACACUGACGCUCAUGCUCGAAAGCGUGGUAGCAAACA
rnacentral:rRNA from 1 species